rnacentral:lncRNA from 1 species
CCUCUUCGGUCUCCAGCGAGCAAAACAGACGGCCACCACCGCCGUCCGCCGACUCCGACUCUCCUCUCCCUCAACCUAUAUCUCCUUCAACCUCCACCCUAGUCUCGAUCUCUGGCGACAGCAGUCAAUAGACCACCAUCGCCAUCGACCCCUAUUCUCUAACUCCACAGUCGACGGUAGCAGCGGCGAAGAGCCGGCCACCAUCGCUUUUCCUCUUAUCUCCCCCGACUUCCCUCUCUACUCUCCCUUACUGGCUUCGACAGACAGCAGCUGCCAGGCCGCCGCUGCCGCCGCCGAGCUC